rnacentral:ncRNA from 1 species
CUGCAAUGUGGCUCGGUGAAAAGGGAAUCAGGUGAAAAUCCUGAACAGACGGUGCUGCUGUGUGCUCCCCCAACUUGCCUCAUGGUGGGUUUAACCUGCAUCACCACCACUGCACAGCCACUCUUGGCGUGUGGGAAGGUGUGAUGCUCUCCCUCUCUCAUAGGGAGGGGGAAUAGGGACGGGAGUGAGUCAGAAGACCUGCCAAGUUGUU